UACGGAGGGUGCAAGCGUUAAUCGGAAUUACUGGGCGUAAAGCGCGCGCAGGCGGUCUAUUAAGUCAGAUGUGAAAGCCCCGGGCUUAACUUGGGAAUUGCAUCGGAAACUGGUUGGCUAGAGUCUUGUAGAGGGGGGUAGAAUUCCAUGUGUAGCGGUGAAAUGCGUAGAUAUUAGGAGGAACACCGGUGGCGAAGGCGGCUUUCUGGGUAUUUACUGACGCUCAGGCGCGAAAGCGUGGGGAGCAAACAGG
rnacentral:rRNA from 1 species